AGGGCCAGAAGCCCCAAGUGAGGCCCAUUGUGGCCCAAGGGAUCCUCCGCCUGGCAUCCCUGGGUAUUUUAGCUGUUUGAGGCUCUGAGAUGACUGCAAAAAUGGAUGUGGAGAGGAGAAUUGCUCUUCAGGCAGAGUGAGAAGUAAGCAGGGCCCUGAGACCUCUUCUGCAUAGCAACUUCAGGCUGAAAGGUGGGACUUCACACUUCCAUCUGAGACAGAGGACUAUAUCUGCCUCCUCGAACUUCCCCAUUGCUUAAAGCCAUGUUUUUCCAGUUUUUACUGGUAUCUUAAAUCUUCAUGUGCUGGGUGCUAGGUAAAAGCAACUUGGCAGGCAGAGAGAUGGUUUGUGCAGGGUUGCUGGACACAGUAAUGCUCCUCGCUCACGAGGCUUAAUAGCAUCAUUUACGAAGCGUAAUAACAUCCUCCUCAUACAGCCAUCACUCCUGCUUUUCCACCCCAUGCUGCUGUGGGCACUCUGCAAAACCCAGGGCUUCUCGCCUGGCUUGUGCUGCUACAGACCCAGGCACUCCUUGUGACAGAAGCUUCCCAUCACUUUCUGGGAAGCUUCCAUCAAUUUCCCUUGCCAAACAUCUGGAUUCCCUGUGCGACCUUCAGUAACUUUACACCGCUCCAGACAAUUAGGCACAAGAUGGCUCGACAAGGCUUGCCAAACACCAGAAUUUCCUUCCUCUUUAGGCAUCUGAUUCCUUCCACAUUGCUUUCAGUCCUGCCUUCAGCUGCUUCUUGAAACCCUGAGCAGCAGCUGCGCUGGGACGUGUGGUUUUCCACUAGGUCUUGCUGGCUCGUGUUUGCUGGCUCUGUUUGUGCCUUGCUUUCCACAUGUUAGCUAAGGUUGUGCAGAAGUCUAAUUUUAAUGAUCUUAAAGCUAUUUUUAUUUAACAUCUCACUAACCCAGCCUGUAUCAGAACAAGCAGAUCACAACAGAGACACCUGCCUGUUGGGGUUUGACUUUGUCUCUUCCUCUCGAAGGCAUAAAGCAUGGCAGCAAGGGAAAACUAUU